rnacentral:rRNA from 1 species
UACGUAGGUGGCAAGCGUUGUCCGGAAUUAUUGGGCGUAAAGCGCGCGCAGGCGGUCUCUUAAGUCUGAUGUGAAAUCCCGUGGCUUAACCACGGGCGGUCAUUGGAAACUGGGGGACUUGAGUGCAGAAGAGAAGAGCGGAAUUCCACGUGUAGCGGUGAAAUGCGUAGAUAUCUGGAGGAACACCGGUGGCGAAGGCGGCAUUCUGGACCGGCAUUGACGCUGAUGCGCGAAAGCCAGGGGAGCAAAGCGGG